rnacentral:lncRNA from 1 species
GUUUUUCCCUCAUAAUUUUUAAACUAUGUGACCUGAUUAGGGACCAUAUGGGGGUCAGAGUUUUCCUGGUUAGGUUAACAGAUAAGGAGAAACUCCAGGCCCCAGGGGGUAAAAAUUUCCCCCCAACUGGUUUCCACCAGCCUGCUAGCCGUUGUCAGUUAUCGUCAGGUAUGUGGAUGAUCAGGGCUUUAUUCAGGAACGUUUCUUGGGCGAGAUGCGCAGUCUUUGUUUAACUUCAUGGACAAACUUGUUCAAACUUACAUCGGCGCAGCUGUAAUGGAAUGUAUCUGCUAUUUGUAUUUCCAUCUAAGUCCCCUCCUGUUCCCUGAUUUAAGAAGUGAACACUCCUCUCCACUACGAUUGUCAACUCUCUCCUGACAUGAACUGAAGCCACGUCUCAUGUUCCCGCUCAUCCACUGUUACAUUUAAUGUUUCCUCUCCAAACACUUCAAAUUCUGUCCUGCACUGAAGUCAAGCCUCCACUGGUCUCUGCCCUUGAAUGUCUGCAUUGGACAUCACUUGGCCUUCAUGGAGCAGCCAUGUACCACCACCCUCUCAAUAUAUCAGUAGUCAAAUGCAGGCUAUACCACGCCAGAGUUCUAUCCAAAUAUAAAGAUGGCAAGCUUAGUUCGGCAACUUUUGAUCUCCUUACAUGAGAUUUUAACUAGUCAGACAUUAUUAUGAGGUACAUAUAAUGUAACCUACCUUUGUGAUGUCAUAUGGGAGAAAAAUACAGUUUAACUUUCUUCAGCUGUUUAAUUUUCCCAUUGAGACCAAGGUGUCUUCUGCAAGGGAGCCCUGCAUCUUAUAAUUAAACAACAAAUUACACAUAGAAAAUACACCAGAAAAUAAAAAUACAGAGAUUACAAAAAAGAAAAGAAAACACACAUGAAAAACAAUCACAUUCCUCAGCAAAAAGGUCCUCAAUCAGCACUCUGAACUGCCCGAAAGGCACCCAUGCAUCCAUUUGUAGGGAACUCUGAAGAAACUAAAAGCUGUUUUUCCUAAUUCUGUAGCAACAGGGAAUUUCCAGUUAUCUAUCCCUGUGAUGGGUAUGGUAACUCGUACAUAUAUGGUGAAACGAGGCUACUCAGACGAGAAAAAACAACAUCAUUCAGUCGACGUUCCUUCAUGUCCUAGAAUAUGGCGACAUCAUCUACAUCGGAUAUUCCCCGCCGGGGUUCGCCAAAUAAAAAUGUGAUUCACAUUUUAAAGCAGUCCAUUUAGAUUUUCCAACGGGGCAAUACAUUUCAGUGAACUGCAUUCUACUAUUGAGAGGCUUAACCUAGUGCCUUCAGAAAGUAUUUACUUGACUUUUUCCACAUUUUGUUGUGUUACAGCCUGAAUUUAAAAUUGAUUAAAUUGAGAUUGUGUCACUGAUCUACACAUGUCAAAGUGGAAUUUUGUUUGUAAUAAAAAAUGAGAAGUUGAAAUGUCUUGAGUCAAUAAG